rnacentral:rRNA from 1 species
GAUGAACGCUGGCGGCGUGCCUAAUACAUGCAAGUCGAGCGAACAGACGAGGAGCUUGCUCCUCUGACGUUAGCGGCGGACGGGUGAGUAACACGUGGAUAACCUACCUAUAAGACUGGGAUAACUUCGGGAAACCGGAGCUAAUACCGGAUAAUAUAUUGAACCGCAUGGUUCAAUAGUGAAAGACGGUUUUGCUGUCACUUAUAGAUGGAUCCGCGCCGCAUUAGCUAGUUGGUAAGGUAACGGCUUACCAAGGCAACGAUGCGUAGCCGACCUGAGAGGGUGAUCGGCCACACUGGAACUGAGACACGGUCCAGACUCCUACGGGAGGCAGCAGUAGGGUAUCUUCCGCAAUGGGCGAAAGCCUGACGGAGCAACGCCGCGUGAGUGAUGAAGGUCUUCGGAUCGUAAAACUCUGGUAUUAGGGAAGAACAAAUGUGUAAGUAACUAUGCACGUCUUGACGGUACCUAAUCAGAAAGCCACGGCUAACUACGUG